rnacentral:lncRNA from 1 species
GCUUUUGCUGCCUUUAUGUUCCCCACCAGAACAGUUUGGGUUUGAAUAAUACUUUGCUUGUGGUUAAAACUCUGUGCAGCCUCUUUUAGUUGUUGUUGUUAUUGUGGUAAGAACACUUAACAUGAGAUCUACCCUCUCAUUUUUUGAAAGGAAGUAUGAGGGAGACAAAAAAAAGGGACCUGAACGGUUCAGUUUGAGACUUUUAAGAUUGAUUUUAGCUUAACAAGAAACUCCAGGACCCAGGUCAAGGCAACAUGCUUGCAGACAUCCGCUACCUGAAUGCAGUGGAUGAGAUUGAAAUCAUUUUACAUCUGACAGAAAGGAAAACAAGGUAAUUCCCACAGACUUCCAGAAGAGGUGUCCAGAAAGAUCAGCUCACUUCGUCAGCUAAGAGCUGCAGGAAGCAGGAAGACUCCAGUGAAAAUAUAAGCAGCUCUGGCAAGCUAACAAUCACAUCUGUUAGCCACUGGAUAAAAUAAGAGUUGGCAAGGACCGGUGUGUCUGAACUGACUUAUUUUCUAGUGGGAGGGGUAAACUUCUGCUGAUUAACCACUCAGGAUCCUAACUAACUUUCUGGCAUGGUGUUUACAUGAUUAUGCCAUUGGCCUUGAAAUGAGAGUGACUUUUAGGGAUACUUCAAAAGGCAAUUCUUUUACUGUUCCUGGAACCUAAGACCCCUACAAAGAAAGCCCGGCCCACCUACUGUGUGCAGUCAUGUCUUCUAGGACUUCUGCAAGAGUUACUCCCAGGUGUAUGACAUACACCCAGGUAUAUGACAAAGGGAUCUAUAUGGGAAAUCACUUAUAUAGUGAGUAUGAACAGAGAGCCACAAGCUCAGGAGCACAGUAAAUAUCAUAUUUCUUUACUUUUCAGUUAAUAAUUUCAUUCUGACUCUGUGAUACACCAUGUUUUGGUGGGUUAUAACCUCAUUCUUCCAUGGGGCUCUCCUCCUGGUGGUUUUGUCAAGGUGCUGGGGAUCAGGAUCUUUAAUCUGGCCAGCAGGCACCUAUCCCUCCAUGAUCCCAGCCAUGUCAUCAGGAUGCAGAUUGGUGGCUUUGGUUUAACACUGGGCACACGAGAAGCCAUGUCAAGGCUGGGUGUUCUGGGCCGUGAUUCCUUCUAGGUUCUGCUACUUAUUGUUGCUGCCAGGCACUGACUUAUAGAUCCUGGUGCUCAAAGGACUACACACUUCUUUUCUCUCCUAGCCUAGAUAAUCUGUUUUUUGCAUUUCUUGUUUAUUUUUUAUUUUUAUUUUGAAACUGGGUCUUGCUUUGUCACCCAGGCUGGAUGCAGUGCUACAAUCAUAGCUCACUGUAGCCUCAAAGUCCUGGGCUCAAGCCAUCCUCCUGCCUCAGCCUCCUGAUUAACUGGAACUAAAGGCAUGUGCCACCAUGCUUGGCUAAUGUUUUUUUUUUCUUUUUUUCUUUUUCUUUCUGUCUUUUUUUUUUUUUUUUUUUUUUGGUUAAAGAACGAAUCUAGCUAUGUGCCCAGGCUGGUCUCAAAAUCCUGGCCUCAAAUGAUCCUCCUAACUUGGCUUCCCAAAGUGUUGGGGUUAUAGGCAUGAGCCACUGUGCCCUGCUAAUAAUCUGUUUUUAAUCUUGGAAAAUAUUCUGUUUAUCCAUAUUUCUAUCCAAAGCAUGCACAUAGACUUCUCUUUCUUCUCCCUCUGACCCUGGGGAAUUUACUUUUAUGUUGGGGAAAUCCUUCUCUCUCUCCAUGUUUUCCUCACAAGUACCCCAUCUUCCUACACCUCAUUACUCUCUGUGGAAUUUUGCUUCUGGAAACAAAAGCCAAGAAGGGAAGUUUUUGCAGGCCAUCUCUAUUUCUUUCUCUGAAGGGGAAAAAAUAGAAAAUGUAGGGUGAAAAUUAUACAUUACUAUCACAAAAAUUAUCUUAGCAUAGACAUAUACAUACAUUCUCAAAGGCCUGCCUGGUUAAUUUAGUUUUGCACUGGUAAAACAAACAAAAGACACACUAGACAAAAGGAUCUGCAAAUCUUAUGAGUUGAGUAAUUUAUGAAUUUGUCAGAGUGUCCAAUGUAGAAGAUGAACUAUAUUCAAUUUGGUUUAAUGUGUCAAGGAGGAGAGAGUGAAGAGGAGAUCACCUUCCCAGAAUUCUUCCAAGGGAACUAUAGUCGUCAUACUUCCACUUGCAAAUUAUACUACAUUUACUCAUGGCUAUAUAUAAUUCAAGGAUUUUUAUGGUCAUCUUUUAUUGAUUAGCAUCAGCUAAAUUCUCUGCAUUAAAAUGUUUUUUGUAGAGAACUAUGUUUACAAACAGAAACAACAGAACUAAUGGACAUUACCUUGACCUCUGCCAGCACUGGAUAUGAGUGACCACUCUUUCUGAAACUCUCUUCUCCACUAGAUUCCAUAGAAGCACUCUGUCAUAGUUCUCCUCCUCCUUUCUUAUCUUACCUUUUUGAAAUUCUUCAUGAGGUUUUUUCCUUCAUCCACAUGGGAGUACUUAUCCAUUUACAGUUCCCCACUUCCAUUCUUUGUCUUCUGUUCCCCUCCCAGGAUAAUCUCACCUACUCUCAGAGUUUUAGCCACCAGCAAUCUGCUAAUGACUCACUCAUCCCUGCCCAGAUCCCUGCUGGACACCUUCAUCUGAAUGUUCCAUAGCACCUCAAACUCAACAUGUCCAAAGCAGAAUGCUUCAACUUCUCUUCCACUAACCUGUACCCCUCUUUCUGCUCCCUUUCAUAAUCCACACAGUAAUUUCCAUCUCUGCUUCUUAAUCUUGACCAACUCACCCAGGCACACAAAAUCAGUGCCUACACAAGGUAGUUGCUACAGCAGCUCCAGCUUUACUCUCAGCCUUCUGGUUACUGCUCUUGUCCAACUGGUUCAGGGACUCCAGAUUUGACUGCACUGUUUGCUUCCAUCUCUGCUAGUUUCGUGAUCUUUGGUCUCCCUUUUUGCUUCUUGGACUUCUACCUCCCUUUCAAUACUUGACUCUCUUCUCUCUCUCUGAUGAUAUUGUCCUAUGAGGUCUUGGAAGAAAACUCCCUCAACCACCCAGGCUAACUUUUUAGGCUUCCCUCCGCUGGUAAAGGAUGAGACAAACCCCUACGUUCCAGACUGCUUGAGUCCUCACUUUCCUUCACCUCUUCAUACCGAGUUAACCACUAAGCCAUCAAUGAACAUGUCCUGCACUCUCCUUAUCAACCCUGCUGAUGCUGCCUUAAAUUAAGCCCUCAUCUUCUUUUCCCUGCAUUAUUCAAACAGCUUCCUAACGGUCUCCAGUCUCCUAUUUUGUUCCUCACCUGGCAGCCAGAUUAUUUGUUCUAUAACACAGUGUGGGUCUUUCCUUUGCUUAAAACCCAUCAGGAAAUAUCUGCAACCCUGAUCUCUCAUCAGAAAAAAAUCCGUGAAAUGCUUAAAAGACAUAGAUUUUGGCAUCAACUCUAGAGAUCAUAGCUCAGUGUGUUUGAGACAGGGCUAUGACGUCAGAACUCCUGGGGUAACUCUGAUGUGCAGCCUCCACAGCAUGGCACCCCAGUUCCACUGUGGCAUGCUUCUACCCACACUUCCAUCUCGGCUCCUGCUUCAGCAGAGCUGGAGGAUGUCUCUUACCUUUCGGAAUCUUAGGAUCCAUUACAGUGCUUGAUGGUCAUUGACAUUAACUAGACCACUGCAUGAUGACAGCAAAUAUUAUCAAAGAACCAGAGGUGUUUUUGAGGUUGUUAAGGGCCCUGGAGCUACAGUUUAAAGAAUUCCUAUGUAACUGUUCUCACUAAUUCAAUGUAUUCCUUUUCUUAAUUCCAUAUUCAGUGCUAUUUCUGUAGAGUACUAGACAAAAUAAUUUCUCACCCUACUUGGUAUUUACACCUUUAAAGUAUUUAUAGAUUGCUUUUAUAUCCUCACGUAGUCAUCACUUAACCAAACAGUAUGCAUUUUAGUUUUACACUAUUACUUUAGAAAUUCAUCCCUCCAUAAAGUGAUAGCUUUUCCUGAAUUAUUCUAUUUCUUUAUAUAUUUCUUAAAUUGUAGUAUUUCUUCUUUGAAUAACUAGAUAACGAGCCUGUUGAAGAUAGCAAUUCUGACUUACAAUUACGACUUUGCCUUCACUGUUGCCUCUACCAUGAUUGACACAGAACUGGGCAUAAAAUAUGGGGAGAGGAGGAAAGAGUGGAUUUGCCAAGAAGCUGUAGGGACAGAAAGUUCUGAACCCUCUUUCUGUCAUGUUUUUGGUCCUCCUAACCCAUGUUCCAGCUGUUCAUUACUGCUACCACCAGAUGUUUUAGGUAUACAUAUUUCUCUGAUUGAACUACAAAUAAGCUAAUUCAUUAUCCCUCAGUAAGAAAGAAAACCUAGGAGAAAAUGGAACACUUGGUAUUAUUUCACGUCUCUGGAAAAGGAUUGCUCACAUUAUAUAACUUGAUGAGAAUUUGCCAAAACUCCAAAUGAUACUUCUGUCAGGCAGUGUAAAUUGCCAUUCUGGAUCUCUAUUACAAGAAGUUGUAUUUGGCUACAAUCCAAUGAAAUGUAUCAAAAUGCAAUUUCCAAGGCAUUCAGAACUGUACCCUUCAUUUGAUUCUGUGCAUGCCCACAUAGGAGCUGGAAAAAUAUUCAUUAAGU